CAAUGGCUUCUAUGCUACCACACAGCACCACGAUUCUCCAGAGGAUUCUGAGAACAGGAGCAGGGUGACCGUGCUUCAGGACUUGAUGGGUAGAAGAAGACGAGGGAGGAGGUAAAGGAAAUAAUGAAUUCACUCCACCCUUCCAGGCAGAAGGAAAAGUGCUAGUAAUCAGUCAGAUGCAAGAAGGUCAAAUUAACAAUAACAAAAGGUACAGUAUAAUGAAGUGAUGGGUGUAGCCCGGACAUGGAUGCCAGAAUACUUUGCCAGCAGAAACAAGAACGAACAGCUAGGUACAUGAUGUCAUUGUGAAAUGAAUUUUAAUUUCCUAAAUGCAGGUGAAUUUUCCCUUAGAAGACACGUUUGUCCCAUCAGUGAAUAAACUUAAUUUCAAUCCUGU